GACGAACGCUGGCGGCGUGCUUAACACAUGCAAGUCGAACGGAAAUGCCCUGCUUUUGUGGGGUGCUCGAGUGGCGAACGGGUGAGUAACCCGUGAGUAACCUGCCCUUGACUUUGGGCUACCUUCAGGAAACUGGGGCUAAUACCGGAUCUGAGCUCCUGCUGCAUGUUGUGGGUUGUAAAGUUUCGGCGGUUGGGGAUGGACUCGCGGGUUAUCAGCUUGUUGGUGGGGUAGUGGCUUACCAAGGCUUUGACGGGUAGCCGGCCUGAGAGGGUGACCGGCCACAAUGGGACUGAGAUACGGCCCAGAAUCGUACGGGAGGCAGAGGUGGGGAAUAUGGAAAAAUGGGCGGAAGCCUGAGGCAGCAACGCCGCGUGCGGGAUGAAGGCCUGCGGGUGGUAAACCGCUUUCGCCGGUGACGAAGCGUGAGUGACGGUAAUGGGUAAAGAAGCACCGGCUAACUACGUG
rnacentral:rRNA from 1 species